GGGAUGUAGCUCAAUUGGUUAGAGCACCGGCCUGUCACGCCGGAGGUUGCGGGUUCGAGCCCCGUCAUCCU
rnacentral:tRNA from 1 species